ensembl:lncRNA
CACGGGGCUCAGGCCCUUCGCAAAGCCCAAAGCCCCGCUUCGGUUCGGGGCACGGCGCGGCCCGGCCGUGCGGGACCGAGACCCGCGGCCCCUCUGUCCGCGGCCCGCGCUGGGGACAGGGGCGGCCGGGCACGGUGCCCCGGUUUAAAACAGAAGAAACGAGGGCUCGGCGGGAGGCGGGCGCGCCGGCUGCCGGGCAGCUGCCCGGGCACACGGGCACGCCGCGGGCACCGGCGCGAGCGGACUGCAGAUUUCGUCGGGUUUGGCGGCGCUGCAGAGCCCCGGCGCAUCCAGCCCCUCCCCGGGCCCGCGGGGCGCGGCGGAGCGGUGCCGAGCCACGCGUGCGGCGGCGGGCGGGCUACCUGCGGCGGCGGCGCCCAGAGCAGGCCCCGGGGCGGCCGCAGGGGCGAGGCAGGGGCGAGCAACCGGCGCGGCGGCGACGAGAGUCAAGACGCAGCAGCAGAACGACUCCGCAGCGGUCCCAUGGUGUAAUGGUUAGCACUCUGGACUUUGAAUCCAGCGAUCCGAGUUCAAAUCUCGGUGGGACCUCGCGCCAUUUUUGUCUCCGCUGUCCCAGUAAUUCAGCGGGAGGCGGGCGCGAAUCGGGGCGGCGGUGGCGGCACCAGGCCUGCCCCGAAAGCCCUCCCGUCCUCCACCGUUUGCGGGCAUCCGCACGCCUCCAUUUUGUGCGGGGGCGCCGGCUCUCAUGAGCGCAUGCGCGUGAGCACAGACGGGGCGGAGCUGCGGAGGGCGCUGUUCGGCUGCUGGCGCAGGUUGCGCGCGGGGAGUGACGCUGCCACCUCCCCGCGCUGCUAUUGGCUGGGAGAGUCCCGCGUCUGCGCUAAGCGGCGCCCCCGCUCCGGGGGGGUUCCCUAACGCGGGCUGCGGAGCGCUUCCCCGGGCGGCACCAUAAAUCUGGGGGGGGGGGUCCAGCUGCGGCCCCUGCGUGGGGUCGGCAGUAGAGAAACGCCCCCCCCCCCCCCCCCCUCNNNNNNNNNNNNNNNNNNNNNNNCCCCUCCCCCCCCGGGGCAGCGCUUGGCUCAGCCCGCCGCGGAGGACGGGCGGCGUGCGGCGGAGCUGGGCUGGCUGUGACGCGGGGCUCGGGGAGCUCAGCCGGGAUUAACCGGGCGGUCUGCCCGGGGCUCAGGAGACCCGGGCCUGUUUGAGACCUGCUCCUCCGGGAUUAGGAGCAGGGAUGGACAACAAAGCUCCGUUUUGGCACAGAAGCUGGUUUUCUUUCCUUUUUUUUUUUUUUGUGGUAAGGGCGUCUGGCCUGGCUAAAGCAGGGGGAUGCCUGAGGAUGCUUAUCGCUAGGUUGGAUUCGUGCUGUGUGGCAAGCUUGUCCUUCCCAGACACAAGAGACAGAGGCUGUGCUUCGAGUGCACACUGAGUGGAUUUAUUUAGCGUAGGCAAGAGAAAGAACAAAACCUUUAUCGAUUCAGUUAUUUAUGGCUAGGUAGGUACACAACACCAGAUGCGGAGGAUUUGUGUGAGUUCCCUCCUGAGCUGCAACCAGGAAGAACCUCUUUGUUGUGUUCAGGUUCCGCAGGGGAGCCCCAGGUUUUGGGCCUUGUCUGACGUUGAACAGCUGAGGACCUCCAGUCCCACGGCCUCCUGCGGGCAAGUGUCAAGCAUGACCAGCAGUGACCCAGCAGCCAGGAAAGCACUGCAGCUCCGCAUGGGUUCAGGAGCAAUUUCCCUGUAUGUGCAGCAUUUAAAGUAAUCCUAAGCCCACCUCCAUGCUCUUCUGGAGCCCCAUCCGUGGCUGCUUUCUCCACCAGCAUCAUGAGAGACAAAGGCUAUACCCAAUAUGCAACAGGUACCUUCUGCGCCGUCACCUCUUCCCAAACAGCCAUGUCCCACGUGGUGGGAGAGGUUUGUUCCUGCCCUGAAUUUGUAGCAAUUAUCAUUGCUGCGUUUAAGUCUGACCUGGUGCAUGUACCACCUCUGAGCAGAGGCUGUCUGGGCUGCCAGCUCCAAGUCAUCCCUGUCACCAAUGAGACGUUGUGGGACAAGACUUUGCAGCACCCCUACCUGUAUGGAAUUAGUCCAUCCUCCCCACCUGCCCACGGCACAGCCUCAGCAGCAGAGGAGAGCAGACGGUAAAGCCAAGGCAGUGUUUGGAGCCGCCACAGCUGCAGGCAGACCCCGACAGCUUGCUCUCCUGUGGCUGCUGGAGGGUUUCCCAGGGAGGAAGCGAGACCAAGAGGCAGGGUGAAGCUUUUGAACAAGCUGCCUGGAGCCUUGCACCUUCGUGCGGCUCACAAUGUGUUGGUUGAAGUCCCCAGACAUACUCUGACCAUCCCAUGGCUCUAGAUGCAUUGUGGAUGUGACCUGUGGUCUGUAGGAGCGAUGGACAGCAUUAAUGGGCUGGGAGUAUACAUUGGAAUAAAGAGAAUAAAGCUUCAGACCA